rnacentral:rRNA from 1 species
CCUACGGGGGGCUGCAGUGGGGAAUAUUGCACAAUGGAGGGAACCCUGAUGCAGCAACGCCGCGUGAAGGAAGACGGUUUUCGGAUUGUAAACUUCUGUUCUUAGUGAAGAAUAAUGACGUUAGCUAAUUAGCAUGCCACUGCUAACUACGUGCCAUCAGCCGCGGUAAUACGUAGGUGGCAAGCGUUUUCCGGAAUUACUGGGUGUAAAGGGAGCGCAGGCGGGAAGCCAAGUCAGCUGUGAAAACUACGGGCUUAACUUGUAGACUGCAGUUGAAACUGGUUGUCUUGAGUGAAGUAGAGGUUGGCGGAAUGCCGAGUGUAGCGGUGAAAUGCUUAGAGAUUCGGAGGAACACCGGUGGCGAAGGCAGCUAACUAGGCUUUAACUGACGCUGAGGCACGAAAGUGUGGGGAGCAAACAGGAUUAGAUACCCGAGUAGUC